AGGCGCGUAGCUCAGUGGUAGAGCACUACCUUGACAUGGUAGGGGUCGGUGGUUCGAUCCCACUCGCGCCUACCA
rnacentral:tRNA from 2 species